UCAGCCGCCAUUUUGUUCGGCUCUGGGUCACUCGAGUCACUGACUCAAAAGUAUCCCUGAAGAUAACCAGUGUUGUCUGUUCUCCUUUGUUUUAUCACGUCAUCAAGUCAUAGUUUGAUUAUUCUGCUGAUUUUUAAUUGCUGAAGUUCUUAAAUUAAGACCAAAGUGGGAAUAGAACUGCAGAUACAUAUUAUACUAAAAUCCACCAUGACAGACGAAUAUGAUGCUAACUAGUUGGAUUAGAUUUGAAAAAAAAUUCUUCUCCUUUCUACAUCUGAUUAAACCCAUUUUCAGCAAAGGUGGGAAUAGAACUGCAGACACAUAUACUAAAAUCCACCAUGACAGACGAAUAUGCUGCCAAACUACAGUUGGAUUGGAUUUAAAACUCCUUUCUACAUCUGAUGGAAACCAUUUUUAGACCAAGAGCAGAGAAACUACGCCUCAUGAAGCUCAAAUUGAGGACGAUAGCAGUUCAAAGUAAAAAUAUAUAAUUGGUUAUAAAUUGAAAGUUAAAUUUUUGUAAUAUUUAAUAAAAAUCAUUGCAUUUUAUUGAAAAUAAUGUUUUCUUAUUUACAUUUUUUGCUCAUAUAGAUAUACUCUGAAGUUAAGCUUCAAAGAAAAUAAACUAAUAUAGAUAUUAAUAUAUAAUAUUUAAUAUUUUAAUAGAUAUUCAAAGUAAUAAUUGAUGUGUUACUCAGAUGUAUAUGAACUGUAUUCCAUUUGAGGUGUUGCAAGCAUAGAGGGCUGUUUGAACUAGAGCAGAUUUGAUUUAAUUAAUUCAUGGAAUGGCGAGUGACUCAUGCACUGCUCCCUCUCAGGACAGUCUG